rnacentral:sRNA from 1 species
GCUGGGCAUGGUAGCACAUGCCUGUAAUCCCAGCAGCUUGGGAGGCUGAGGCAGGAGGAUGGUGAGUUCAAAGCCAGCCUCAG